rnacentral:rRNA from 1 species
UGCCAGCAGCCGCGGUAAUACGGAGGGUGCGAGCGUUGUUCGGAUUUACUGGGCGUAAAGCGCAGGCAGGCGGUUCGUUAAGUCGUUUGUGAAAACCCGGGGCUCAACCCCGUGGAAUGCAGACGAUACUGGCGAACUGGAGACCAGUAGAGGCUAGCGGAAUUCCUGGUGUAGCGGUGGAAUGCGUAGAUAUCAGGAAGAACACCUGUGGCGAAGGCGGCUAGCUGGGCUGGAUCUGACGCUGAUCUGCGAAAGCGUGGGGAGCAAACGGGAUUAGAUA